UGAUUUCCCCUUGGGACUGCUUGGA
rnacentral:piRNA from 1 species